CUACAUUGCAGGAGGAUUCCUUACUGACUGAGCCAACAGAUGGACUCUGAAUUUGUCUUCCAUGAAGUGACCUUUAGAGAUUGACUAGCAGCUCAGUCUAAAGACUCAGAAGAGGGAAACUAAUUUGUCCAACUGGGGUCAUGUGACAAGCUAUCAUCAAGAGGGGCAGAUGGUCAGAUGGCCCUAGGCUGGCGGCCAAUGCCCACUCCAGAGAAAAUGGACAGUCUCUGAACAGGGCUGGGAAGGCACUCAGAAAGUGUUUACUAUAAUAUGACUUUCAUCAACACAUCCCCCUACACUCUCUUCCAUUAAAGUUAUUUUUAUCUGUA